UGGGGAAUAUUGCACAAUGGGCGCAAGCCUGAUGCAGCCAUGCCGCGUGUGUGAAGAAGGCCUUCGGGUUGUAAAGCACUUUCAGCGAGGAGGAAGGGUAGUGUGUUAAUAGCACAUUGCAUUGACGUUACUCGCAGAAGAAGCACCGGCUAACUCCGUGCCAGCAGCCGCGGUAAUACGGAGGGUGCAAGCGUUAAUCGGAAUUACUGGGCGUAAAGCGCACGCAGGCGGUUUGUUAAGUCAGAUGUGAAAUCCCGCGCUUAACGUGGGAACUGCGUUUGAAACUGGCAAGCUAGAGUCUUGUAGAGGGGGGUAGAAUUCCAGGUGUAGCGGUGAAAUGCGUAGAGAUCUGGAGGAAUACCGGUGGCGAAGGCGGCCCCC
rnacentral:rRNA from 1 species